GCAGAAUAUUAAGAAGGGGGUUGUGUGGAAGGAGAUUUGGGAGAAGGGAGACUUCCGAGGAAGAUUAGGCAGAGUGGGCAGGAAGACCAGCUCUCAUGUGGGGGUGGGAGGCUCUCUUCCUUUUUUGCUCCUGUUCCUCCUUUUCUCUAGCUGGCAGGCCUCUUCUCCUGCACAGUGGUCCUGUCGGUGCUGCUGUGGCUGGGGCCCUUCUUUUACUAUCUGCCCAAGGUAAGGAGCAGAGGAGGCAUGAGCAUGGCUGGGAGGGGUAGCUGUAUUCCAGGACAUCGAGGUAGUCAGCCCACCUCCUCUGCCUCAAGGCUGUCCUGGCUUGCAUCAACAUCUCCAGCAUGCGCCAGGUGUUCUGCCAGAUGCAGGAACUUCCACAACUAUGGCACAUCAGCCGAGUGGACUUUGUGAGAAAUGCCAUUACCCCCAGAUUGCCCCCUCUCAUCUUGUUAGCAUCCCCAGCCUCUGCCCUGAACCAAACCUAAUUGUCCUGGUCUUAAGUUCUGCAACCCACCCACUCCCCCAGCAAACAUAACUCCUAGUAUGCUUUACUCACAGGCAAGGGAAAGGAUGGGGUUUGAACCCCUUUGACCUGAAUAUUUGUAACUUCCCAACUGGUGCGGGUCAUUACAUUUGGUGUGUGUCCCAUUGAAUCAACCCUGUUGUUUCCUUCUGUCAUGUUUUCUACUUCCUGGGUCAUCUCUCCCCAUCACUUGCCUUGGUAGUCACUGCCCUGGAUCUCUUUACCCAGCAGUGAUGGCCUGGCUUUUCUUUUGGGCAAUCCACCCCUAUCCCUAUCCUGCAGGCUGUGUGGAUGGUCACCUGGGUGGCUGUAGUGACCCUGAGUGUGGAUUUGGGCCUGGCUGUGGGUGUGGUCUUCUCCAUGAUGACUGUGGUCUGCCGCACCCGGAGGUGGGCAUAGAGAUGAGUGGAGUUGAGGUCGGGGCAGGGGAAGAGAAUGAGGUGCUUGGGGUGACUCUCCAGCCAGGCCAGGCUAAGCUGGAAAUCUGGCCCCACCUUCUUCCCUAGGGUGUAGUGCCUGGCACUUGGACAGGCUGAGGGGACAGAGCUCUACAGACCACUCAGAGGAAGCCCCAAGGUGGGUGGGCUGCAGCCAAAGACGGAAGGGAAGAUUAGCCCCAGACAUUUCUCUGAUCCUUUGACCUCUUAGCUCCUCCAGGUCCCGGGGCUCUGCAUCCUGAGCUAUCCAACACCACUGUACUUUGGGACCCAUGGGCAGUUUCGCCGCAACCUGGAGUGGCACCUGGGGCUCGGAGAAGGAGAAAAGGAGACUUCAAAGCCAGAUGGCCCAAUGGUUGCAGGUGAGAUGGGGUGACAAGAAGGAAGAUUUGGGCAUGUUGCAUGGUGACACCUGGGUACUCCUGUCUUCUCCCAUUCUAGUUGCUGAGCCUGUCAGGGUGGUGGUCCUAGACUUCAGUGGUGUCACCUUUGCAGAUGCUGCUGGGGCCAGAGAAGUGGUGCAGCUGGCCAGCCGAUGUCGAGAUGCUAGGAUCCGCCUCCUCCUGGCUCAGUGUAAUGCCUUGGUGCAGGGGACACUGACCCGGGCAGGACUCCUGGACAGGGUGACCCCAGAUCAGCUGUUUGUGAGUGUGCAGGAUGCAGCUGCUUAUGCCCUGGGGAGCCUGGUAAGGGGCAGUAGCACCAGGAGUGGGAGCUGGGAGGCACUGGGCUGCGGCAAGUGAGGCAGGGGAGCUCACUGACCCAAAGAUUUGCACCGUGUGGGUCUGACCUCAUCAUGUGGAGUGCAGAGGGCCCUGAUGACAUGUGUGUGAUGAGGACCAUGACCCUUGAACCCCCUUACCUAACGUAACUAAUAAAAUGAAGCUGAGAGCUUUGGAAUCCA
rnacentral:sRNA from 1 species